UUGUCAUUUUUGAGUUGGUCAUGGUAGUGCGUUGCUCUGCAGCAUAGCACCAAUAAAUACUUUUUUUUACCUGCAUAUGGUUCGUCAUCUAACCGUAAAGCUCCUAAGCUGGAACGUGACAGUUAGGAGCUACUGGUAGCUCAUGAGCUACUGGUUGGAGACCCCUGACUUUCCAUGUAUGAACGAGUGGUAACGUAAACAAUCAUGUCCAGACUGCUGAUAUUGGCCCUGUGUGUGCUGCUCUUAUCCACAAUGACACCCAGCUCAGAGGCGAGUCGUGGUGAAGGUGCUGAAAGCUACGGAAGGAGUUCUGGUGCAGGAGGCGAAAACAGUUCUGCAAAAAGACUGCUCACUUUAAGGAGAGGUGGCUACAGUGACCAAUAUGGUGGGCUGGGUGAAACAGGGACGGUGGCGGACAGGCGAAUUCCAAGGGCCCGUGAUAGACAGAAAAAAUAAAAUAUUAUUUUACUAUUUUGA